ACGGGUGAGUAAUGCCUAGGAAUCUGCCUGGUAGUGGGGGAUAACGUUCGGAAACGGACGCUAAUACCGCAUACGUCCUACGGGAGAAAGCAGGGGACCUUCGGGCCUUGCGCUAUCAGAUGAGCCUAGGUCGGAUUAGCUAGUUGGUGAGGUAAUGGCUCACCAAGGCGACGAUCCGUAACUGGUCUGAGAGGAUGAUCAGUCACACUGGAACUGAGACACGGUCCAGACUCCUACGGGAGGCAGCAGUGGGGAAUAUUGGACAAUGGGCGAAAGCCUGAUCCAGCCAUGCCGCGUGUGUGAAGAAGGUCUUCGGAUUGUAAAGCACCUUAAGUUGGGAGGAAGGGCAGUUACCUAAUACGUGAUUGUUUUGACGUUACCGACAGAAUAAGCACCGGCUAACUCUGUGCCAGCAGCCGCGGUAAUACAGAGGGUGCAAGCGUUAAUCGGAAUUACUGGGCGUAAAGCGCGCGUAGGCGGUUUGUUAAGUUGGAUGUGAAAUCCCCGGGCUCAACCUGGGAACUGCAUUCAAAACUGACUGACUAGAGUAUGGUAGAGGGUGGUGGAAUUUCCUGU
rnacentral:rRNA from 1 species